UGUCCAAAUUUCUUGCUGUAGAUAUGGCAGU
rnacentral:piRNA from 1 species